UGGGCUCACAUCCCUUGGCUUCAUUGC
rnacentral:piRNA from 1 species